rnacentral:rRNA from 1 species
UACGAAGGGUGCAAACGUUGCUCGGAAUUAUUGGGCGUAAAGCGCACGUAGGCGGCUUAGCAAGUCGGAUGUGAAAUCCCUCGGCUCAACCAAGGAAGUGCAUCCGAAACUGCUGAGCUUGAGUACGAAAGAGGAUCGCGGAAUUCCCGGUGUAGAGGUGAAAUUCGUAGAUAUCGGGAGGAACACCUGUGGCGAAAGCGGCGCACUGGACCACAACUGACGCUGAGGCGCGAAAGCUAGGGGAGCAAACAGG